CCUUGCUAAAGAAUCAAAGUUGUUCGGCAUUUCUUUUAGAAAAGAAGUACCUUGCUGAAGGUACUGAUGCCUUUAAUAUAAAACUUAUGAAGUUUGAUAGAUAGAAAAACUGACACAAUCUGAUAAAUUCAUAGAAUCUGAUUUGAUUAGAUCAAAUCUGAAAUCCAUUAUAGAGGCACCAUUAAGGAGAUCCGAUAGAGUACCACAUUCGUCAGAUAGAUACUUUAGUAUUUAGGUCUGGGAUGUGAUUCUGUUGAAUUUGAUGAGAACAACAAGGAUCUGAUCGUCUACACAGAUACCAUGCAGAGGUUCG
rnacentral:lncRNA from 1 species